rnacentral:rRNA from 1 species
GACGAACGCUGGCGGCGUGCUUAACACAUGCAAGUCGAACGGAAAGGCCCUGCUUGCAGGGUGCUCGCGUGGCGAACGGGUGAGUAACACGUGGGUGAUCUGCCCCUUACUUUGGGAUAAGCCUUGGAAACUGGGUCUAAUACUGGAUAGGACCAUGCUGUAGGUGGUGUGGUGGAUAGAUAAGUUUCGGUGGGGGGUGAGCUCGCGGCCUAUCAGCUGGUUGGUGGGGUAAUGGCGUACCAAGGCGUCGACGGGGAGCCGGCCGGAGAGGGUGGACGGCCACAUUGGGACUGAGAUACGGCCCAGAAUCCUACGGGAGGCAGCAGUGGGGAAGAGUGCAGAAUGGGCGCAAGCCUGAUGCAGCGACGCCGCGUGGGGGAUGACGGCCUUCGGGUUGUAAACUCCUUUCAGCCAUGACGAAGCCCUUGUGGUGACGGUAGUGGUAGAAGAAGCACCGGCUAACUACGUG